UUAUUUUAUUUACCAAAUAAAAUUUUCAUCAAAUAUUGGAUUUUAAAAGAUCAUAUGAAAUAUGUUCUAAAUAAAAUAAGUUAUGUAACCUUAUGUUGUAUGUUAUAAAAACAAAGUUUAAUAUAUUUCAUAAAUACUCUAAGGAUAGCACGUUAUAAUUUGUAUCUUAUUCCGUUACCAUCUGCAAUGGUAUAUGGAACAUCAGCAACAAUGGCUUUAUUAUAUUUCACAGAUUGGAAAGUAGUAGUACGAUAUAUUCCUUUUUAUGGAGGAAAAUUUAGUGAAUAAAACAUAUAUUAUUAUUUAAUAUUUAUAUAUGUAAUAAUUACAUUUCAAUAAAAUCAUGUAGCGAUAUA